rnacentral:sRNA from 1 species
CCUCAUCUUUGGGGCUAUCACCUGCUUUACGGGAUUUCUGGGCGUGGUCACGGGUGCAGGAGCCACGCGCUGGUGCCGCCUGAAGACCCAGCGGGCCGACCCACUGGUGUGCGCCGUGGGUAUGCUGGGCUCUGCCAUCUUCAUCUGCCUCAUCUUCGUGGCUGCCAAGAGCAGCAUCGUAGGGGCCUAUAUCUGUAUCUUCGUCGGGGAGACGCUGCUGUUUUCUAACUGGGCCAUCACUGCAGACAUCCUCAUGUACGUGGUCAUCCCCACCCGGCGGGCCACUGCCGUGGCCUUGCAGAGCUUCACCUCCCACCUGCUGGGGGAUGCCGGGAGCCCCUACCUCAUUGGCUUUGUGAGUAGCCCUGGGGUGGGGCUGGCCUGGGGAGAAUGGGGGGCUUCAGGAGGGCUCUGCCCUGACAUCCACCCCCAAAUCCUUGCAGAUCUCAGACCUGAUCCGCCAGAGCACCAAGGACUCCCCGCUCUGGGAGUUCCUGAGCCUGGGCUACGCGCUCAUGCUCUGCCCUUUUGUCGUGGUCCUGGGUGGCAUGUUCUUCCUUGCCACUGCUCUCUUCUUCCUCAGCGACCGCGCCAAGGCUGAGCAGCAGGUGAACCAGCUGGCGAUGCCGCCCGCAUCUGUGAAAGUCUGAGGUGGUGCCAUUGGGACAAUGAAGAACCCACACUCCCACUUAGUCUGGGAGGUGUCCUACAGCAUCAGGGACCGGCUGGGCUGCCCCAAAGCUUUCUGUGUGAUCCACGGCUAGGCAACCACCCUCUCUGGCCCAGGCCUGCUGAGUGGCCCUGGCAUCAAGAAGAGGCUGUGUCCUCAGUUGCCCUGGAAGGAUGUGUGUGUUGGAGCCACACAGUUGGACAGAUUCCCAGCCCUAGGUUUGGGCUGCAG